rnacentral:rRNA from 1 species
UUUACGGAGAGUUUGAUCCUGGCUCAGGAUGAACGCUGGCGGCGUGCUUAACACAUGCAAGUCGAACGGUGAAAGAGAGCUUGCUCUCUGGAUCAGUGGCGAACGGGUGAGUAACACGUGAGCAAUCUGCCCCUGACUCUGGGAUAAGCGCUGGAAACGGCGUCUAAUACCGGAUACGAGCUGCGAAGGCAUCUUCAGCAGCUGGAAAGAACUUCGGUCAGGGAUGAGCUCGCGGCCUAUCAGCUAGUUGGUGAGGUAACGGCUCACCAAGGCGUCGACGGGU